rnacentral:rRNA from 1 species
GACGAACGCUGGCGGCGUGCUUAACACAUGCAAGUCGAACGGAAAGGCCCUGCUUUUGUGGGGUGCUCGAGUGGCGAACGGGUGAGUAACACGUGAGUAACCUGCCCUUGACUUUGGGAUAACUUCAGGAAACUGGGGCUAAUACCGGAUAGGAGCUCCUGCUGCAUGGUGGGGGUUGGAAAGUUUCGGCGGUUGGGGAUGGACUCGCGGCUUAUCAGCUUGUUGGUGGGGUAGUGGCUACCAAGGCUUUGACGGGUAGCCGGCCUGAGAGGGUGACCGGCCACAUUGGGACUGAGAUACGGCCCAGACUCCUACGGGAGGCAGCAGUGGGGAAUAUUGCACAAUGGGCGGAAGCCUGAUGCAGCAACGCCGCGUGCGGGAUGACGGCCCUCGGGUUGUAAACCGCUUUCGCCUGUGACGAAGCGUGAGUGACGGUAAUGGGUAAAGAAGCACCGGCUAACUACGUG